rnacentral:rRNA from 1 species
CCUACGGGUGGCAGCAGUGAGGAAUAUUGGUCAAUGGACGAGAGUCUGAACCAGCCAAGUAGCGUGAAGGAUGAUUGCCCUAUGGGUUGUAAACUUCUUUUAUAUGGGAAUAAAACAGGGUAUGCAUACCCUCUUGUAUGUACCAUAUGAAUAAGGAUCGGUUAACUCCGUCCCAGCAGCCGCGGUAAUACGGAGGAUCCGAGCGUUAUCCGGAUUUAUUGGGUUUAAAGGGAGCGUAGGUGGAUUGUUAAGUCAGUUGUGAAAGUUUGCGGCUAAACCGGAGAAUUGCAAUUGAAACUGGCAGGCUUGAGUACGGUAGAGGUGGGAGGAAUGCGUGGUGUAGCGGUGAAAUGCUUAGAUAUCACGAAGAACUCCGAUUGCGAAGGCAGCUCACUGAACUGCAACUGACACUGAUGCUCGAAAGUGUGGGUAUCAAACAGGAUUAGAUACCCUAGUAGUC